CUGGUGGCACAGGCCUGUAGUACCAGCUACUCAGGAAGCCAAGGCAGGAGGAUCACUUGAGCCCAGGAGGUCAAGGCUGCAGUGAGCCAUGAUCGCACCAGUGCACUCCAGCGUGGGUGAUAGAGUGAGACCUUGUCUCAAAUAAAAAAAGUGGGAUUCGUUUGGCUGCUGUGUGGGGAGGACUGUUGGUUGUCAGGGACAAGGACAGAAGGCUGGAGGUCAGCACACUAGACAGGAGUGCUGGCAGUAGAGGUGGGAAGAAGUGAAAUUUUGGAUCUAUUUUGAAGGUGGAGCCCACAGGACUUGUAUAAGACUGAUUGGAGUGGGGACUGGGGCAACGACGAGAGAAAGUGAUGAAGGGUAACUUUGAGGUUCUGGCCUGAGCAUUGGAGGGACGGUGGGGCCAUUUUGUGAGGUGAGAAGACCAGGAAUUCCAUUUGGCCACGUCAGGUUUGACAUGCAUGUUAAGCGUCUUCCCUCAAAGACUUUAUGGACCCUCGUCACUGAGUCGAGCGCCUCCACCAGGGCCCUCAGAGCUGCCCUGAUCCUGACUAGCUGUCACUGGUGACAGGUCUGUCUCUCUGCUUCAAGGCAGGGACAGGGUUGGUCUGGUGCCCUCGCUCCCGCCGCCCUGCGCAGAGUCGGUGCUCAGUAAGUAUCUGUAGGAUGAGGGAAUAAUAAGUGCUCCCAGAAGAGAGGCCGCGGACCCCAGGGAUGCCUCUGGAUUGCAGCCUUGUCAAAAGGACAGAUAAUGUGUGGCAUGGGGGCGGGGACAGGCAGAUAGUAACAUAGGGGCGGGGGCAAGCAGAUGGUCUUAUCCUGUCUUGGGGAAGGGAGUGGCCCGGUAAGAGACAGGCCGGACCGCAGCGUUCAAAGUGGGAAUCCUGGCUACAAGGCCUCAGGGACACGGGCGCUGGGAAAUCACAGAGGCCUUACGCUCGAAGAGACCCUCAACCCUCCCACGGCACCGCAACAAAGAGCCGGAGUCCACAUGCCGACCCACCGCAGGAGGAAAUACUCACCCGGGCAGAACUCAGUGCUGGGAUGCCCACACUGCCCACCACGCGGAAGCCUGGCCCGGAAGUGACUCCGAGACUACCACUCCCAUAAGGUCUUGGGGCUUUCUUGCCUAGAACUCCCAGAAGCCCAUGCGACACUUCCGCUGGAUGCGCCUACGGCUCCGGGGUCCCGCUUGGCCUACAACUCCCAGAAACACUUGCAUUGCUCUUUCUGCCGCUCCCAAAAUACACUGCUCCCCCUCCCCCCGCGUUUACUUUCUGCGCCUGCGCGCGGCCGCAGGGAGCGGCGGAGCUGCGUGUACUGUUGUCAUGGCAGCGCGCUGUCACCCGGCAGGUUGCUGGAUGGGCGAAGUAGUUGUAUUCUGAUUAACUGAUUUUGUGGGAUUAUUAUAGGAUUUUAAGGGGAUUACAGGGCCUAUGAUUUCUGCCCUUUGAGGCGGGGUUGCGGGUGGGAAUUGAAGGUGGAACUGCAGGGGUUGGUCGCUAGUGUAAAAGGCGCAGAUAGCGCAUGCGUAGAGCAGACUUCGAGGAUUGGAGUGGAACUCCGCGCGCACGCGGGGGCUGUCGUGAUGCGCGUGCUGGAGACCCAGACUCUAAACAGAAGGAUCCAAAGACCCUUCUCACCUAACCCAGGAGCCCAGAGGCUCAGAGACUCAGACCCUUGAGACUAAGGGGGUUAAAAACGCAGACCCCUGGCACCAAAGCACCUGAGAGAACCAGUAGACCUGGAGACAACCGUCUGCACCCUAGACACAGGGAUCUGGAGGCCUCCACCCUCCCCACAAGGCCCAAGGGUCUUGAAGACCCCGGUGACUCAAAUACCGGGGCACAAGGAGUUUAAGGACUCAGAUAUCUGAGACCCUUGAGAUCCAGGUCCCCAAACCUAGGUCCUCGAAAAAACUGAGGCUCAAAAUUCCUCUAGACGGCGCGGUGGCUUACACCUGUAAUCCCAGCACUUUGGGAGGCCGAGGC
rnacentral:lncRNA from 1 species